rnacentral:lncRNA from 1 species
UCCAAUAAACAUAAGAUAACCACACAUUAAGUCUUAUUCCCAAAAGAAAUGACAACAUCAAACUCCUUCACCGCUGCCCAGCACAAAGUACCCCUUGAGCAGGUUGAGAUUCAUUAUUUAUUACAAAAGCAAGAAACUUAGAUGAUAAUAACUUGGUAGAAACAUAGAUGAUAACUUCCAAUGUAUUUGAUCAAAAUGCAUUAGAUCAAAUAGACACACUGUUGGGAACACCCAUCCCGGUAAGGAUGCAUUAGAUCAAUUAGUGAUUUAAUGUAUGUUUAACUAUAAAGUAGAAAGAUGUAUUUAAUUUAACAACUUACAAAAUAAAUGUUAGGUCCAACACAAUGUUUCUGUUUAAUAAUAUAAACUAGAUUUUGAUCCGCGCUUUCAAAGCGCGGGUUUAUUUUCUUUUUGUUCAAUGGUCAAAAUAUUUAGUAAAUGUCAUAUUUCAUAUAUUUGUGUUUUAUUUUAUAAAAGACUUAAACUUUUUAUCUUUCUUUAUCGUGUUUCAUUUUAAAUGACUAUUUAUGUUUAAAAAAUUAAACUUUAUUUUUUUAAUGAAUUAAAUUGGUAUAACUCUGAUAAAUUAAUUUUCUUAUGUGGUUAAUAUUUUUAAUAAAAAUAAUUAUAUACUUUUAAUAAAGAUUUAUACUUUUCAAUGAAAAAAUCAAUUUUUUUUUAUGAAUGCUUAAAUUAUAUUAAGAAAAGAAAAAAAAUAAUUAAGAAUGGUUGAAAAAAAAUUAUUUGAAUUUGGACUCAAUGGCCCAAAGAAAAAAAAUGUGAGAAUUGGAUCUGAUUUCUUAAUCGGCCCAAAUGGUCCAAGAGAGAUCUGAUGUGGACAGUGGGCUGGAUCCGAAAAAAAUGGCCAAAUAUAGAAGUGUUAUUAAUAUUACUUGAUUGCCCUUAAUGAAACAUGCAAUGUUAGUAAAAAAAGGGCACACUAAGGUAAAAAGGACAAUAGGAUCCUGCUUUAAUAGUAUAGAUUAUCAUAGCCUACCCGGAUUUACGGUAAUUCAAUUUCAGUAUUUUUUGUUUAUUUAAAAGUUUACUCGGAUCUGGUUAUGAAUUUUCAUCCAUUUCAUAAACUUUUCCAGGUAAAAUUGUUUUAAUAGGCUAACUUACUAUACUUGAAUACAAUCUUCAAUAGGUCAGGCCAACUCGAUGGGGUCGUUUUCCUACGUCCAACAAUAUUUGGUCCAAUAAACAUAAGAUAACCACACAUUAAGUCUUAUUCCCAAAAGAAAUGACAACAUCAAACUCCUUCACCGCUGCCCAGCACAAAGUACCCCUUGAGCAGGUUGAGAUUCAUUAUUUAUUACAAAAGCAAGAAACUUAGAUGAUAAUAACUUGGUAGAAAGAUAGAUGAUAACUUCCAAUGUAUUUGAUCAAAAUGCAUUAGAUCAAAUAGACACACUGUUGGGAACACCCAUCCCGGUAAGGCCUGGUUCAGAGAUAGGCUUCAAAAGCUCGUACUUAACAACACCUGCUCCAGCUCGAUUCUUUAGAGCAACAUCCACGUUCCUCUCAUCUAUCACUCCUUCUAG